UACGUAGGUGGCAAGCGUUAUCCGGAUUUAUUGGGCGUAAAGCGAGCGCAGGCGGUUGCUUAGGUCUGAUGUGAAAGCCUUCGGCUUAACCGAAGAAGUGCAUCGGAAACCGGGCGACUUGAGUGCAGAAGAGGACAGUGGAACUCCAUGUGUAGCGGUGGAAUGCGUAGAUAUAUGGAAGAACACCAGUGGCGAAGGCGACUGUCUGGUCUGCAACUGACGCUGAGGCUCGAAAGCAUGGGUAGCGAACAGG
rnacentral:rRNA from 1 species